GUCCGGGUGGCUCAGUCGGUUAAGCGUCUGACUUCAGCUCAGGUCAUGAUCUCACACUUCAUGGGUUCGAGUCCCACGUCGGGCU
rnacentral:tRNA from 1 species